rnacentral:rRNA from 1 species
GAUGAACGCUGGCGGCGUGCCUAACACAUGCAAGUCGAGCGAAAAGACGAGGCGCUUGCUCCUCUGACGUUAGCGGCGGACGGGAGUGAAACACGUGGAUCCUGUACUUGUCUGUGUGAGAUCACUUCGGAACUCCGGCUCUAACACCGGAUAAUAUCUUGCACCAUGUGGUUCAUUAGUGAAAGUCGGCUUUGCUGUCACUUAUAGCUGCAUCCGCGCCGCAUUAGCUAGUAGGUAAGGUAACGGCUUACCACGGGUACGCUGCGUGGCCGAGCUGAGAGGGUGAUAGGCACCACGGGAACGGAGACACGGUCCAGGCUCCUACGGUAGGCAGCAGUAGGGAAUCGUCCGCAAUGGGCGAAAGCCUGACGGAGCAACGCCGCGUGAGUGAUGAAGGUCUCCGGAUCGUAAAACUCUGUUAUUAGGGAAGAACAAAUGUGGAAGUAACUAUGCACGUCUUGACGGUACCUAAUCAGAAAGCCACGGCUAACUACGUG